UGCAGUCGAGCGAAGAGAUGGGAGCUUGCUCCCUGAUCUUAGCGGCGGACGGGUGAGUAACACGUGGGCAACCUGCCCUGCAGACUGGGAUAACUCCGGGAAACCGGAGCUAAUACCGGGUAAUACAUCGCACCGCAUGGUGCAAUGUUGAAAGUUGGCUUUCUGAGCUAACACUGCAGGAUGGGCCCGCGGCGCAUUAGCUAGUUGGUAAGGUAAUGGCUUACCAAGGCGACGAUGCGUAGCCGACCUGAGAGGGUGAUCGGCCACUGGGACUGAGACACGGCCCAGACUCCUACGGGAGGCAGCAGUAGGGAAUCUUCCGCAAUGGACGAAAGUCUGACGGAGCAACGCCGCGUGAGUGACGAAGGCCUUCGGGUCGUAAAGCUCUGUUGUUAGGGAAGAACAAGUACCGUUCGAAUAGGGCGGUACCUUGACGGUACCUAACCAGAAAGCCACGGCUAACUACGUGCCAGCAGCCGCGGUAAUACGUAGGUGGCAAGCGUUGUCCGGAAUUAUUGGGCGUAAAGCGCGCGCAGGCGGUCUUUUAAGUCUGAUGUGAAAGCCCACGGCUCAACCGUGGAGGGUCAUUGGAAACUGGAGGACUUGAGUGCAGAAGAGGAGAGUGGAAUUCCACGUGUAGCGGUGAAAUGCGUAGAUAUGUGGAGGAACACCAGUGGCGAAGGC
rnacentral:rRNA from 1 species